rnacentral:rRNA from 1 species
UGCCAGCCGCCGCGGUAAUACGGGGGGUGCAAGCGUUAAUCGGAAUUACUGGGCGUAAAGCGCGCGUAGGCGGUUUGAUCAGUCGGACGUGAAAGCCCUGGGCUCAACCUGGGAACUGCAUGGGAUACUGGUAUUCUAGAAUACAGUAGAGGGAGGUGGAAUUUCAGGUGUAGCGGUGAAAUGCGUAGAUAUAGGAAGGAACACCAGUGGCGAAGGCGACCACCUGGUCUGAUACUGACGCUGAGGUGCGAAAGCGUGGGGAGCAAACAGGAUUAGAUA